rnacentral:lncRNA from 1 species
ACUGUUCAGCCAUGUUACCAAGGAACCUGGUGGUGCAAGGACGUCCUGUGUUUGGGGCAGGUGGGAAAGGUAGGAAGCACACUCACAGCACAGACUUGAGCAAGGUUCAGACUGUUUAAAGAGAGAACACGUUCUACUCCUUGCUACCCAUUCAAUGUUGGGUAAGGCACUUAACAGCUCUGCUUCUCUCGUUCCUCCAUUCCCAACCCUCAGCCUGGAGGAUCUAAUGAGUGCUUUGCAAACUGUCAGGUGUACAAAGAUCCCACUGUCACCUGGAAUUGCGACUGCCAGCCAUGGUUCACCUUACAAUGUUCUUCAACAUUGCUGCAGCCUUUGGUCUGCAUCUCCCUCUAGCUAUUUGUAGAUAGCAGAAAACUUUUGUGCUCUGGGUAUUGGAGAGAAAGAAUUUAGCUGUAAGGUUUCCUGGUUUCACAAAAUUACUUCAGGAUAUUUAUGUGCUUGGGUUGUGACUUUACAUGCCACAAUGGCCCGAUGACAAGUCCAUCUCUGGAUAGGAAUUUGAUAAGAACUUUAUCCUGAAGUACACAGAUCUUGCCAACUUGUCCAUGGUAAACGCUGGACUGAAUAUAAGUGGUUCCAGGUUUUUCAUCUGCAGUAUGGUUAAACGGCAAGUGUGUGGUCUUUGGGAAUAUGAAAAAGGUCACGGAUGUGAUGGAAGCCACAGAGCACUUUGGGUCCAUGAAUGGUAAGAUCAGCGAGAAGAUCACCA